rnacentral:rRNA from 1 species
GGGCUACACACGUGUUACAAUGGCAGGUACAGAGAGAUGGUUGUACGUAAGUACGAUCAAAUCCUUAAAGCCUGUCUCAGUUCGGACUGGAGUCUGCAACCCGACCCCACGAAGCUGGAUUCGCUAGUAAUCGCGCAUCAGCCAUGGCGCGGUGAAUACGUUCCCGGGCCUUGUACACACCGCCCGUCAAGCCAUGAAAGCCGGGGGCGCCUAAAGUCCGUGACCGUAAGGAGCGGCCUAGGGCGAAACUGGUAAUUGGGGCUAAGUCGUAACAAGGUAGCCGUACCGGAAGGUGCGGCUGGAACACCUCCUUUCUGGAGAGAC